rnacentral:tRNA from 1 species
UCCUGGAUAGCUCAGUUGGUUAGAGCGUGGUGCUGAUAAUGCCAAGGUUGCAGGUUUGAUCCCUGCAUAUUCCUGGAU